rnacentral:tRNA from 1 species
AGAAACUUAGGUUAAACAUUAAACCGAGGACCUUCAAAGCCCUAAACAGAGAACAGUCUCUAGUUUCUG